rnacentral:rRNA from 1 species
GUGCCCAGAUGGGAUUAGCUAGUAGGUGGGGUAACGGCUCACCUAGGNGACGAUCCCUAGCUGGUCUGAGAGGAUGACCAGCCACACUGGAACUGAGACACGGUCCAGACUCCUACGGGAGGCAGCAUG